rnacentral:rRNA from 1 species
GAAGCAGCUUGCUGUUUCGCUGACGAGUGGCGGACGGGUGAGUAAUGUCUGGGAAACUGCCUGAUGGAGGGGGAUAACUACUGGAAACGGUAGCUAAUACCGCAUAACGUCGCAAGACCAAAGAGGGGGACCUUAGGGCCUCUUGCCAUCGGAUGUGCCCAGAUGGGAUUAGCUAGUAGGUGGGGUAAAGGCUCACCUAGGCGACGAUCCCUAGCUGGUCUGAGAGGAUGACCAGCCACACUGGAACUGAGACACGGUCCAGACUCCUACGGGAGGCAGCAGUGGGGAAUAUUGCACAAUGGGCGCAAGCCUGAUGCAGCCAUGCCGCGUGUAUGAAGAAGGCCUUCGGGUUGUAAAGUACUUUCAGCGGGGAGGAAGGGAGUAAAGUUAAUACCUUUGCUCAUUGACGUUACCCGCAGAAGAAGCACCGGCUAACUCCGUGCCAGCAGCCGCGGUAAUACGGAGGGUGCAAGCGUUAAUCGGAAUUACUGGGCGUAAAGCGCACGCAGGCGGUUUGUUAAGUCAGAUGUGAAAUCCCCGGGCUCAACCUGGGAACUGCAUCUGAUACUGGCAAGCUUGAGUCUCGUAGAGGGGGGUAGAAUUCCAGGUGUAGCGGUGAAAUGCGUAGAGAU